rnacentral:rRNA from 1 species
UACAGAGGAUGCAAGCGUUAUCCGGAUUUAUUGGGUUUAAAGGGUGCGUAGGCGGCUUUUUAAGUCAGUGGUGAAAGACAACAGUUCAACUGUUGCAGUGCCAUUGAUACUGAAGAGCUUGAGUACAGAUGAGGUAGGCGGAAUUUAUGGUGUAGCGGUGAAAUGCAUAGAUACCAUAAAGAACACCUAUUGCGAAGGCAGCUUACUAAGCUGUAACUGACGCUGAGGCACGAAAGUGUGGGGAUCAAACAGG